GACACCCUCAUGGUGUGAAGAAAUGGCAGAGGAUGUGAGUUUGGAGACAAGGCAGGUGGCUCUGCAGGCUGCUUGAGGCAGAUACGAGACACAGGCAUCUUUAGAAAGGCUUGGCCAAAUCCUUCCAACUGAGACACCUCUGAAGAGACGGGCUGGCACCUCAGCUCCCAUGCGGUGGACUGAGGCUGUUUGGGGUCUGGGUCAAAGUUCAACUUUGCCUCUGCCCAAUCCUUUCUUCUUCUACCCCUCCCGGGUGUUCCCUAAACUCUGUCUCUGAGUCUGUUUUUCAAAGAAUCCGAAGUAUGACAAUUAUUUAUCAAGGAUCCGUGAACAUGGUUCAAGACUCUACAGAGGAGGAACAGAGUCUCCUCGGGGCGCCCCACGGGCACUUUGCUGUUUAAAGCAUGGGAGAGCUGGGGAAGGACCCAGACCACUGACCUCCCUGCUGACAUUCCCUCAGUGUCCCUCCUACUGGCAGCCACAAGGGGACACCCAUGCCCAGGGACAGCCAGUGAAGGACCGAUGAGACAGAGGAGGCAGCCUCACCAUCCGUCCGCAGAUUGGCAAGGACGAGGGCAGCUGGCCAAGGCCCUAGAAGUGGGUCUCCGCCCCCCCGUGCACAGUGACCAGGACACCAUGACAUCUGCAGCCGGAACAGAGGGGCAGCUCCUGUGGGCCCAGGCUGGCUCUGGGUUACUGGGAUUUCCCCAGGACUCCACGGCCUCUCUGGGGGCUGAUUCUGGCAAGAGUGACGGGUGACGUGGGACCCCUCCUGAUCUAUGUGGGGAGCCCACAAGCCAGAGGAGGCACAGCACCUGCUGGAGGAGCAUUGUGACCUGGAGGGGAGACAGGGUCCUGGCAGUUCGCACAGAAUCUGCUUCACCUCCUACCAAUGCCUCCCGGAGUCACCCCUUGUACACCGUCCCAGCAAACGUCAAGUCCACUUUGUUUUUCUCUAAUAAACAAGCUUGG